rnacentral:tRNA from 1 species
GGGGUGUUAGCUCAGUUGGUAGAGCGCUUCAAUGGCAUUGAAGAGGUCAUCGGUUCGACUCCGUUACACUCCA